AUGAUUCCUAAGUGUUUCUGAAGUUCUCCUGCAUAGUUGUGAAGUAUAUUUGGAGUUGUGUGUAGUAGUCAGAAGAUUGUAGAUGUUCAGUCCUCUGGGAAUGAUGUUGUGUCUCUUGCAUAGACUUCGAAAAUAUAUGUUGCUGUUGAGUUUGGCUUUUUCUUUUUCAUGUUGUGGAGGAGUGAUAUCCCAG